UGCCUCAGUUGGUAGAGCAUGGUGUUUGCAACGCCAGGGUUGUGGGUUUGAUUCCCAC
rnacentral:tRNA from 1 species